rnacentral:rRNA from 1 species
ACGCUGGCGGCGUGCUUAACACAUGCAAGUCGAACGAGAAGAGAUGAGAAGCUUGCUUCUUAUUGAUUCGAGUGGCAAACGGGUGAGUAACGCGUAAGCAACCUGCCCUUCAGAUGGGGACAACAGCUGGAAACGGUUGCUAAUACCGAAUACGUUCUUUUUGUCGCAUGGCAGAGGGAAGAAAGGGAGGCUCUUCGGAGCUUUCGCUGAAGGAGGGGCUUGCGUCUGAUUAGCUAGUUGGAGGGGUAACAGCCCACCAAGGCGACGAUCAGUAGCCGGUCUGAGAGGAUGAACGGCCACAUUGGGACUGAGACACGGCCCAGACUCCUACGGGAGGCAGCAGUGGGGAAUCUUCCGCAAUGGACGAAAGUCUGACGGAGCAACGCCGCGUGAACGAUGACGGCCUUCGGGUUGUAAAGUUCUGUUAUACGGGACGAAUGGCGUAGCGGUCAAUACCCGUUACGAGUGACGGUACCGUAAGAGAAAGCCACGGCUAACUACGUG